CUACCACGCAAGUGGAUGCCAAUCCCCAAAACCCUACUCUCAGUUCGGAUUGAAGUCUGCAACCCGACUUCAUGAAGCUGGAUUCGCUAGUAAUCGCGCAUCAGCCACGGCGCGGUGAAUACGUUCCCGGGUCUUGUACACACCGCCCGUCACACCAUGGGAGUCGGAAAUGCCCGAAGUCAGUGACCCAACCGUAAGGAGGGAGCUGCCGAAGGCGGGACUGGUAACUGGGGUGAAGUCGUAACAAGGUAUC
rnacentral:rRNA from 1 species